GGCGGACGGGUGAGUAACGCGUGGGCAACCUGCUCUGUACAGGGGGAUAACACUUAGAAAUAGGUGCUAAUACCGCAUAACGGGGGAAGCCGCAUGGCUUUUCCCUGAAAACUCCGGUGGUACAGGAUGGGCCCGCGUCUGAUUAGCCAGUUGGCAGGGUAACGGCCUACCAAAGCGACGAUCAGUAGCCGGCCUGAGAGGGCGGACGGCCACACUGGGACUGAGACACGGCCCAGACUCCUACGGGAGGCAGCAGUGGGGGAUAUUGCACAAUGGGGGGAACCCUGAUGCAGCGACGCCGCGUGGGUGAAGAAGCGCCUCGGCGCGUAAAGCCCUGUCAGCAGGGAAGAAAAUGACGGUACCUGAAGAAGAAGCCCCGGCUAACUACGUGCCAGCAGCCGCGGUAAUACGUAGGGGGCAAGCGUUAUCCGGAUUUACUGGGUGUAAAGGGGGCGCAGACGGCGAUGCAAGCCAGGAGUGAAAGCCCGGGGCCCAACCCCGGGACUGCUCUUGGAACUGCGUGGCUGGAGUGCAGGAGGGGCAGGCGAAUUCCUGGUGUAGCGGUGAAAUGCGUAGAUAUCAGGAGGAACACCGGUGGCGAAGGCGGCCUGCUGGACUGCAACUGACGUUGAGGCCCGAAAGCGU
rnacentral:rRNA from 1 species